GUUGAACGGCUCUUUUGAUGUCUUUUGUGAAUGCACUUGAAAUAUAUGGGAUGGAUAAUGUGGGUAGUGGUUCCUUUUUGGUUCUUUUUGCCUUGUUUUUUCUUUCUUUCACCUUGUUGAUAUAUCUUGUAUCAUAUCCAUUUCUUUUUGCUCUUCUUUCGAAUGUUAUCUCGGCUUCAUGGAGUAAGGUGUCAUUCGAACAUAUGGAGGUGUAGGUGUUGAUGGUAUUGCUGAUGGCAGCUGUGAGCUGUCUUGAUGUGUUCUGCUGGAGGAUGGGAUUUCGCGUUAAUCAUCAGACCUUUGUUUGCUCGUUUGGUGUACGUACCAUCCCGAUUCUACUCUAACCGAUUCAUUUACUUGCAGUUUGGUGUUGAGGAAAGGAAGGAACCCGUCUUCGCCUGGCAACUCAAUUUUAAAACGAAUAGGUUCCUGAGAAUUAAGUUGGUCUUCAAUGCCCGCAGCUUCUUCUGGACUACUAGCACAGUAGCAGGGUGCGAUAAUUCAAUAUUUUUGGCCGUACCUGACUGGUACUCCGACAACUUUUGCCGCGUACCUGAUCUGGUACAAACUUAAGAGUCAAGACGUACCUAAGACUACUUCCGAGUCAUGC
rnacentral:lncRNA from 1 species